rnacentral:misc_RNA from 1 species
GAUGAAGAACGCAGCGAAAUGCGAUAAGUAAUGUGAAUUGCAGAAUUCAGUGAAUCAUCGAAUCUUUGAACGCACAUUGCGCCCCUUGGUAUUCCGGGGGGCAUGCCUGUUCGAGCGUCAUUAACACCCCUCAAGCUCAGCUUGGUGUUGGGGCCUGCUGCACUGGCAGCCCUUAAAAUCAGUGGCGGCGCCAUCUGGCUCUAAGCGUAGUAAUUCUUCUCGCUAUGGAGUCCUGGUGGAUGCUUGCCAUCAACCCCCAAUUUUUCUAUGGUUGACCUCGGAUCAGGUAGGGAUACCCGCUGAACUUAAGCAUAUCAAUAAGCGGAGGA